rnacentral:lncRNA from 1 species
UGGGUUCUGCGCAAAUUAUAUCCCAGAAACCAGGAAUUGAUCUAGCAAGAAAGUUGGAGGUGACCAGAGGAGCAGGGAGGAAGAAAACUGUUCAAACUGUGAACUCAACAAGGGCCUGUAGCCUAGAAAAUUGGGGCAAGGCCACAGUAGCCCGGCUAGAUGCUGACCCCACCCUGGCAAGGUUGCUUGGGACACUCUGGAAAAGAAGACCACUGCCUACAGGCAGGGCCACUCCACUCGGAACCACCAGAGUUUAUCCAGUAAACACUGAAA